ensembl:lncRNA
AUGUUCCUGAAGCAUAUCUAUCACCUCUGCCUCGUCUGUGCUACCCAUCCCUGUGAACACCAGCCUCUUCAUCUCAGUCACCCUUCUCCUCCCAGCAAACAGGUGGUUCCUGGGUCCCAGUGGGGUCUUGCUGGCCCCGACGUAGACCCCUACGUGCUUCUUCCGAUGCGUGAUGAGGUUGCCCAGCUGAGAGAAGUUCUUCUUGCAGAGCGUGCAUUUGUAGGGCUUGGCGCCGGUGUGAGUAUUGUAGUGGUAGCGGAGCUCAGCGGGAACGCGGAAAGACUUUUCACAGAGGUCACACUUGUGGCGCCUCAGGUUGUGGCCCUGCAGGUGUUUGUCCAGAGAGAGCUCAUCCCUAAAGCCCUUAGCACAGGCCAGGCACCAGAAGGGCUUCUGCUUGUGCAGGUCCAUGUGGAUCAAAUACGUCUGCAGGGAAUUGAAGUUUUUUACACACUGAUCACACUUCAGAGUGGAGGGUUCCAUCGGCACGGGAGGCCUGUGCACUUUCAAGUGAGUCACCAGAAGGGACGGGCGAGCAAAGAUCUUCCCACAGUCUGGGCACUUGUUCUCUGUGGGUUGUUUUUUUUCUUCUUUUUCAUGCGUCUUCUGAUGAUUUCUAAACGACUCGAGGUAGGAGUAGACCUUCCCACAGAUGGAGCAUGCAUAGACCCUGUGGGAGCUGCUGAAGACUGGCUUCUCCUCCUCAGACAGCAUGGCAACGCGCGGGCGAACUGUGACGAUCUCCGAUGGUCUGACCUGCCAGGAACUGUCGAAGAACUCUUCAUCGUCUUCUUCAUCACCUUCCACGUCUACAUCACUGUUCUCUUUGUAAUCACCAUGGUCAUCAUUUUUCUGCUUUUUCUCAGGUGCUGCCGACUCCACAUUGCCAUUGCUCCCGUUCGUCUCCAGGGCUCUCUUAAUGCCCUGCCUUCGUUCCUCCUCUUCCGCCAUCGCCUCCUCCAGAACAUGCUUACGCAGGUGAGUCUUGAAGGCCUCCCAGCGAGUGAACUGCUGCCCACAGUCCUGACACCUCAUGCUGGCUAG